ACAGAGGGUCUUAUAUUAACGAGAACCAUUUGGGUUAUGUUUUCAUAUUGCUCCAUGGAUCACAUGUCGGCCAAGGUUUUACAUGCAAUAUGAAUGGCUUAUUGGAUCACAAUAUAAACCAUAGAGUUGGCUAAGUCUGAUUGGGUUGCAAUAAGAAAACCUCCACCUUGGGCCAUUGAUUCUUGGGGCUUAGAUAUCAGAAGUGGUAAAUAGUAUGAAAGACUUGAUUGAUUAUAGCCGAGAAACAGGAACUGGACCAAUGGGUAUGUUUGACGAGUUCUUACUUGGGCUAUUAUUUUAUUAUUUUUACUUUUAAGUUGGUGAUUUUUUGAAGGUGUCCCCGUGAAUGUUUCCUGCAAAAAUUCAUGCCCAUGGUGUUGUUGCUAUGAUAAUCAUACUUGUCA